rnacentral:rRNA from 1 species
UACGAAGGGGGCUAGCGUUGCUCGGAAUCACUGGGCGUAAAGCGCACGUAGGCGGCUACGUAAGUCUGCUGUGAAAGUCGGAGGCUCAACCUUCGAAAGCCGGUGGAUACUGCGUGACUAGAGUACGGAAGAGGAGAGUGGAAUUCCUGGUGUAGCGGUGAAAUGCGCAGAUAUCAGGAGGAACACCAACGGGCGAAGGCAGCUCUCUGGGACGUUACUGACGCUGAGACGCGAAAGCGUGGGGAGCAAACAGG